CUACGGAGGGUGCAAGCGUUAUUCGGAAUCACUGGGCGUAAAGGACGCGUAGGCGGGUUGGCAAGUCAGAUGUGAAAUCCUACAGCUUAACUGUAGAACUGCAUUUGAAACUGCUAACCUAGAGUAUGGGAGGGGGAGAUGGAAUUAGUGGUGUAGGGGUAAAAUCCGUAGAUAUCACUAGGAAUACCGAAAGCGAAGGCGAUCUCCUGGAACAUAACUGACGCUAAGGCGUGAAAGCGUGGGGAGCAAACAGGAGUAGAAACCCUAGUAGUCC
rnacentral:rRNA from 1 species